rnacentral:rRNA from 1 species
GACGGGUGAGUAAUGCCUAGGAAUUCUGCCUGGUAGUGGGGGAUAACGUUCGGAAACGGACGCUAAUACCGCAUACGUUCUACGGGAGAAAGCAGGGGACCUUCGGGCCUUGCGCUAUCAGAUGAGCCUAGGUCGGAUUAGCUAGUUGGUGAGGUAAUGGCUCACCAAGGCGACGAUCCGUAACUGGUCUGAGAGGAUGAUCAGUCACACUGGAACUGAGACACGGUCCAGACUCCUACGGGAGGCAGCAGUGGGGAAUAUUGGACAAUGGGCGAAAGCCUGAUCCAGCCACGCCGCGUGUGUGAAGAAGGUCUUCGGAUUGUAAAGCACUUUAAGUUGGGAGGAAGGGUUGUAGAUUAAUACUCUGCAAUUUUGACGUUACCGACAGAAUAAGCACCGGCUAACUCUGUGCCAGCAGCCGCGGUAAUACAGAGGGUGCAAGCGUUAAUCGGAAUUACUGGGCGUAAAGCGCGCGUAGGUGGUUAGUUAAGUUGGAUGUGAAAUCCCCGGGCUCAACCUGGGAACUGCAUUCAAAACUGACUGACUAGAGUAUGGUAGAGGGUGGUGGAAUUUCCUGUGUAGCGGUGAAAUGCGUAGAUAUAGGAAGGAACACCAGUGGCGAAGGCGACCACCUGGACUGAUACUGACACUGAGGUGCGAAAGCGUGGGGAGCAAAC